rnacentral:rRNA from 1 species
AUUGAACGCUGGCGGCAGGCCUAACACAUGCAAGUCGAGCGGAUGAAGGGAGCUUGCUCCUGGAUUCAGCGGCGGACGGGUGAGUAAUGCCUAGGAAUCUGCCUGGUAGUGGGGGAUAACGUCCGGAAACGGGCGCUAAUACCGCAUACGUCCUGAGGGAGAAAGUGGGGGAUCUUCGGACCUCACGCUAUCAGAUGAGCCUAGGUCGGAUUAGCUAGUUGGUGGGGUAAAGGCCUACCAAGGCGACGAUCCGUAACUGGUCUGAGAGGAUGAUCAGUCACACUGGAACUGAGACACGGUCCAGACUCCUACGGAAGGCAGCAGUGGGGAAUAUUGGACAAUGGGCGAAAGCCUGAUCCAGCCAUGCCGCGUGUGUGAAGAAGGUCUUCGGAUUGUAAAGCACUUUAAGUUGGGAGGAAGGGCAGUAAGUUAAUACCUUGCUGUUUUGACGUUACCAACAGAAUAAGCACCGGCUAACUUCGUG